rnacentral:rRNA from 1 species
UACGAAGGGGGCUAGCGUUGCUCGGAAUCACUGGGCGUAAAGGGCGCGUAGGCGGCCAUAUAAGUCGGGGGUGAAAGCCUGUGGCUCAACCACAGAAUUGCCUUCGAUACUGUAUGGCUCGAGACCGGAAGAGGUAAGUGGAACUGCGAGUGUAGAGGUGAAAUUCGUAGAUAUUCGCAAGAACACCAGUGGCGAAGGCGGCUUACUGGUCCGGUUCUGACGCUGAGGCGCGAAAGCGUGGGGAGCAAACAGG